UUACUUACAAAGCUCUUAACUAUAGUACAACUUCAGGUGUGUGGCGUUCCAGGUGCGAGGAAUCGCCCCUCCUUCCAGCGUCUCUAAGCGGUAGGCUCCGUUCCCGAGCGCCUCGGUUAUUCUGAAUGGUCCAGUCCACUUGGGUGACAGUUUAUUCUCCAUCUCGUACUGGUGGGCCUUCCUCAUCACCAGAUCGCCCUCUCUAAACUGCCUUGGCAUCACCUUCGAG
rnacentral:lncRNA from 1 species